rnacentral:rRNA from 1 species
UACAGAGGGUGCAAGCGUUGUUCGGAAUUAUUGGGCGUAAAGCGCGUGUAGGCGGCUUUGCAAGUCGGGUGUGAAAGCCCUCAGCUCAACUGAGGAAGUGCGCCCGAAACUGCAGAGCUUGAGUACCAGAGAGGGUGGCGGAAUUCCCCAAGUAGAGGUGAAAUUCGUAGAUAUGGGGAGGAACACCGGUGGCGAAGGCGGCCACCUGGCUGGAUACUGACGCUGAGACGCGAAAGCGUGGGUAGCAAACAGG